CUCACUUUGGCAGAGAUAUGUAAUAAAUUAGAACACUACAGAGCAGAUUAGCAUGGCCCUGAGCAAGGAUGACACCUAGAGUUGUUAAAUGUUCCCCAUCCAU